AUGCAACAGUUGGAUAUCAACAUGGACAGCAUUGAUGAAUACAUCUGGGAGCGGCGCAUCCACCAUGGGGUCAGACGCCAGAAAAGCUCAGUCCCGUUCCCAGAGUCGGUUAAAAUCGGGUUGGAGUUCAACGCGGCGGUGGCGAGGAAGGAAAAGUUAGAUUGGUGUUUUCUGACGAACGCUGUGAUGCUGGAGCUUUGGGAUUUCGCCAAAACGGUGACGAAGUCGGAGAUGUAUUUCUUGUUCGAAAUGCUGGAGUUCAACUUUGAACUCGGCUUGGACAUGGACAGCGACAGACAGUGCUACGAAUACACAGCACGUGUUCACAACAAAAUAAAGCUGCUGAAGGAACAAAUCAAGAUGAAACCUCACAGGUGGAAAGAAACAUUUCCACUACCAGACCUAAACGUUAUAAUGACCGGGUCAGGGAAGGCAGAACGCUACUACCCGAAAAGGAACAAAACCGUGGAUAUUUCCGUCCUCACUGACGGCAGCAAGAACAGCAAGUCUUCAGAAGAUAAGAAGACGGAGAGUAACGGAGCCGCGAGCAGUGAGCUCGAUGUAAAGAAACAAAGAGGAGUUCGACCAACAACUGAUGCCUACCCUUUCUGUAAAGAACUUGGUGUGAGUCUGACCGUUCGACCAGAUGACGCACCCAGACAGAAACUAGACCCAAACCUGGUGACCAAUGGUGUGAUGAUGGAGCUGUUUCACUUUUCCAAAGGGCUUUGUGGAACACAGACUGGGAUCAUUCACGACUUGGUCACGGCGAACUUCGGUCAGGAGUUGGAUAAAACAAUAUUCCGUACGCAAUUAACCAGGCUGAUGGAGCGAAAAUAUUCCUGCCCGACAGCGGAGGACAGGGAGGCUUUCCGAAAGGAGGCUUUCAAAGUCGAGACCAAGAAACGGCAAUACAAUGCUAAAAAGAGAAAAAGACUUGAAGUAGAUCUCCAAGAACUGGAAAGCCUCACAGUGUCCGGUAAGAGAAGUAGAUCGCAGAGGAUCAGGUACGAUGAGGCAGAAGAAACUUGGCAGGAUGGGGACCUGUCGUACAUGUGUCCGGUUGAUUUUGAGACAGAAAUGAAGACCGGGACGGAGGCUGGACCAGAACAAAUGAAGCUCGAAAGUUGUUUGACAAAGUCGUCAGUUUCUGUGGAUGUAAAGCAGGAAGAGGAGGAAGUUUUUGUCUCUCCGGUGCAGCCGCAGACUAAUGUCCACCUUCGUCCAAAGACUGUAAAUGUGGUCUCAAAUCUGUUCUCUGAAGAUAAAAAUGAGGACACGAAUGUAAAAACACUGAAACAGAAGUUGUGGACGAGACGUGCCGCUCGCUCAAAACAAAUCCUGAAGUCUAUCAGAGUUCGCGACAUGUUUGCCCGCUGCAGAGAGAUCGGUGUAGACUUUAAUGUCGGUUCAGGCCACAAACAGAACCUAGACGUACGACUUAUCACCAACUCCGUGUUGUUGGAGGUUUAUAAGUUUGCGAUGGCGAUGUCAAGGAGUUUACACAGUUUCUUAUAUGACGUUCUGAACAGCAACUUCAACCUCGUCCUCCAGGAUGAUUUGCAUCGGCGCAAUUUUAUAUAUUACAUCAUAACGAAAGAAAAGGUUCUUCAGAACCACCCUAGGCGGAACAAGGAGUUUCUGAGCAGUCCCUUUCAGUUCCCUGAAGUUUACAACAUGGUUGACGUGACCAGCGACUUCCAAACCGGCCAAGAAGUCGAGACGGAGCAGCUCUGUGAUUCACAAGCUACAAGCAAGCAGGUGGAUACAGAGCCACACCCGUUCUGUAAAAAGUUGGGUGUCAACCUUUGGUCGACAGAACAACGUCCGACGAGCCAGAAGCUUGAUCUGACCGAACUGACAUCAGGCGCCAUGCUAGAAAUAUUCUGCUUCGUCAGGGAGCUGUGCGGAGCGGCUUGCGAGACAGUUAACGACAUCCUUGAGCACAAUUUCAAUCUUGAUCUUCAGAGCGGUGAGACCGAGGCCGCCCGGGUGAUCCAGAGAUGGUUGGUGACGCAGAAGAACUGGAGAAAGCAAACCACAUUAUCAAAGGUAAAUCGGUGGUUAAACAAGGUCGUCUCACUGAACGGUCACCAACAGCUCAGUCCGCAACCACCAACUGGCAACGGACCUCUGAAGCAUCUGGAUCCAGAAGACUUGAAGCUGGAAAGAGAAAUGGGGGAUUUUAGUAAAUAUUCUCAAGAGGUGAACAGCUAUCACAUCUGCAAAGAAAUAGGAUUGGACCUCGACGUCGGCUCCAAAUCAGAAUCCAAAAAAAAACUGGAUUUGCGAGUGCUGACGAGGGGAGUCCUCUUUGAGUUGCACCGGUACAUAGGACAAAACUGUAAGCGAUACGUUCCCGCUCUGUACGAGAUUCUGGAUUACAACUUCGACCUGAGCUCUCAGAGCCAUCGGAAGGUGGAGUUCGCCUGGUCCAUCGCAUCUCAGGUGAUAGCCAUGGUGGGAAAAAACGUCAGGAAGGGCGAUUAUCUAAACAAAGUGUUUGAGUUGCCCUUCGAGCUCUGCGAGUCCUCACAGAUCAUCUGCAAAGAGGAGCCCCAGGAAGGCUUCGGCGAGCUGGACAUUAACGAUAACUCGGACAUCACAUUUGUCCGAGAACUGAAGCCCGUGGACAUAGAAGUGGAGGUUGAAUAG
rnacentral:lncRNA from 1 species